rnacentral:rRNA from 1 species
AACGUAGGAGACAAACGUUAUCCGGAGUUACUGGGCGUAAAGGGCGUGUAGGCGGUCUGUUAAGUCUAGCGUGAAAGCUCUCGGCUAAACCGGGAGAGGUCGUUGGAUACUGGCAGACUGGAGGAUGGUAGAGGCGUGUGGAAUUCCGGGUGUAGUGGUGAAAUGCGUAGAGAUCCGGAGGAACACCAGUGGCGAAGGCGACACGCUGGGCCAUACCUGACGCUAAAGCGCGACAGCGUGGGGAGCAAACAGG